rnacentral:rRNA from 1 species
CAGGCCUAACACAUGCAAGUCGAGCGGUAACAGGGGUAGCUUGCUACCCGCUGACGAGCGGCGGACGGGUGAGUAAUGCAUAGGAAUUUACCCGAUAGUGGGGGAUAACCUGGGGAAACCCAGGCUAAUACCGCAUACGUCCUACGGGAGAAAGGGGGCUUCGGCUCCCGCUAUCGGAUGAGCCUAUGCCGGAUUAGCUGGUUGGUGAGGUAAUGGCUCACCAAGGCGACGAUCCGUAGCUGGUCUGAGAGGAUGAUCAGCCACAUCGGGACUGAGACACGGCCCGAACUCCUACGGGAGGCAGCAGUGGGGAAUAUUGGACAAUGGGCGCAAGCCUGAUCCAGCCAUGCCGCGUGUGUGAAGAAGGCCCUCGGGUUGUAAAGCACUUUCAGCGAGGAAGAACGCCUGGCGGUUAAUACCCGCCAGGAAAGACAUCACUCGCAGAAGAAGCACCGGCUAACUCCGUGCCAGCAGCCGCGGUAAUACGGAGGGUGCAAGCGUUAAUCGGAAUUACUGGGCGUAAAGCGCGCGUAGGUGGCUUGAUAAGCCGGUUGUGAAAGCCCCGGGCUCAACCUGGGAACGGCAUCCGGAACUGUCAGGCUAGAGUGCAGGAGAGGAAGGUAGAAUUCCCGGUGUAGCGGUGAAAUGCGUAGAGAUCGGGAGGAAUACCAGUGGCGAAGGCGGCCUUCUGGACUGACACUGACACUGAGGUGCGAAAGCGUGGGUAGCAAACAGGAUUAGAUACCCUGGUAGUCCACGCCGUAAACGAUGUCGACCAGCCGUUGGGUGCCUAGCGCACUUUGUGGCGAAGUUAACGCGAUAAGUCGACCGCCUGGGGAGUCGGCCGCAAGGUUAAAAC